GCACUCCCGGGGCGUCUCUAUCUCAUCGCGAGAGGAGGCGCACCUAGAGCGCACACGCUGAUACCCGAAAGAUGGUGAACUAUGCCUGGCCAGGACGAAGCCAGGGGAAACCCUGGUGGAGGUCCGCAGCGAUUCUGACGUGCAAAUCGAUCGUCGGAGCUGGGUUUAGGGGCGAAAGACCAAUCGAACCAUCUAGUAGCUGGUUCCCUCUGAAGUUUCCCUCAGGAUAGCUUGCGCUCAGAGGAUACGAGUCUCAUCCGGUAGAGCGAAUGAUUAGAGGCCUUGGGGUCGAAACGACCUCAACCUAUUCUCAAACUCCAAAUAGAUGAGAACCCCGGCUUUCUUGGAACCUCCUAAAUGAAGCCGGGGGCUUGGAUCAGAGUGCCAAGUGGGCCAAUUUUGGUAAGCAGAACUGGCGCUGUGGGAUGAACCAAACGCGGAGUUAAGGCGCCUCAAUCGACGCUCAUGUGAAACCAUGAAAGGCGUUGGUUGCUUAAGACAGCAG
rnacentral:rRNA from 1 species